rnacentral:ncRNA from 2 species
UGAGGCGCGGCGGGAGAGUCCCACCCCCAUCCAGUGGGCGGGCGCCGCAGGAGCAAAUCCUCCCCGGGAAUCUCUCAGGCAAUCGAUACCGCCGCGACUAG